UUACCCUACGGGACGCAGCAGUGGGGAAUAUUGGGCAAUGGGCGCAAGCCUGACCCAGCAACGCCGCGUGAAGGAAGAAGGCUUUCGGGUUGUAAACUUCUUUUAUCAGGGACGAAGCAAGUGACGGUACCUGAUGAAUAAGCCACGGCUAACUACGUGCCAGCAGCCGCGGUAAUACGUAGGUGGCAAGCGUUAUCCGGAUUUACUGGGUGUAAAGGGCGUGCAGGCGGGGGUGCAAGUCAGAUGUGAAAACUAUGGGCUCAACCCAUAGCCUGCAUUUGCAACUUGA
rnacentral:rRNA from 1 species